rnacentral:rRNA from 1 species
UACGAAGGGGGCUAGCGUUGUUCGGAAUUACUGGGCGUAAAGCGCGCGCAGGCGGUCUUCCAAGUCAGUGGUGAAAGCCCGGAGCUCAACUCCGGAACUGCCAUUGAAACUGUAAGACUUGAGGAUGAGAGAGGUGAGUGGAAUUCCCAGUGUAGAGGUGAAAUUCGUAGAUAUGGGGAGGAACACCGGUGGCGAAGGCGGCCACCUGGACGGUCACUGACGCUGAGACGCGAAAGCGUGGGUAGCAAACAGG